rnacentral:rRNA from 1 species
UACGUAGGGGGCAAGCGUUGUCCGGAAUCAUUGGGCGUAAAGCGCGUGUAGGCGGUUCGGUAAGUCUGCUGUGAAAGUCCAGGGCUCAACCCUGGGAUGCCGGUCGAUACUGGUGGACUAGAGUCCGGAAGAGGCGAGUGGAAUUCCCGGUGUAGCGGUGAAAUGCGCAGAUAUCAGGAAGAACACCCGUGGCGAAGGCGGCUCUCUGGGACGGUACUGACGCUGAGACGCGAAAGCGUGGGGAGCGAACAGG